rnacentral:rRNA from 1 species
UACGUAGGGUGCGAGCGUUAAUCGGAAUUACUGGGCGUAAAGCGUGCGCAGGCGGUGAGCUGUGUCCGAUGUGAAAGCCCCGGGCUUAACCUGGGAAUGGCAUUGGAAACUGGCUCGCUGGAGUGUGGCAGAGGGGGGUGGAAUUCCGCGUGUAGCAGUGAAAUUCGUAGAUAUUCGGAAGAACACCAGUGGCGAAGGCGGCUCACUGGACCGGCAUUGACGCUGAGGUGCGAAAGCGUGGGGAGCAAACAGG